ACCACUUCACACACACCAGGACGGCGAUGACUUUAAACAGAGAGGGGAAAAUUACAAGUGUUGGCAAGGAUGUGGAAAAAUUGGAACCCUCACACCCUGUGAGGGACGUGGAAACAUGAAAUGGUGCAGCCACCGUGGAAAAGAAGCUGGUGGUUCUUCAAAAAGUUAAACAUAAAAUUGCCAUUUGACUCAGCCAUCCCACUCUGGGGUAUGUACGCAGAAGAACCGAGAGAAGGAGUCAAACGAACACCUGUAUGCAAAUGUUCGAAGCGGUGCUCUGCACAAGAACCAAAAUGGAGAAACCACUCAGACGUCCGUCGGCUGACGGAUGGACACACAGAAGGCGGCAGAUCCACGCAACGAAGGAAAAAGAAAAACGCUCCCAGCGUAUCCGUGCAGAUAAGAAGGGCCUGUGGGUGUGCCCGGCCCCGCUGCUCUCCCCUCCCGCGGUCUGAGCGCCGGACCUGGGCCCUGGCAGGCUCCCGGGGCCACAGCCCAGGUGAUGCCGGCCCACUUCAGCCGUCCGCAGCCAGUGCCCCCCUCCUGGGAGGAAGGCGCGGCCUGCCCCCGACCACAGGCCAGAGAGAGGAGCAGAUACUGGCAGGCCACCGCCACAGGCCCGCGACCGCACAACACCGUGGAGAUCCCCAGAGAAGGUGCUCCCGAGCGCUCCCCUAAGUGGGUCCCAGGAAGGGACCCUGGCACAGCGCCCGCACCCACGUCCCUCCUGGGGCAGGAGAUAAAGGCAAUCUGUCGGCGGCGCCAGGGUAACAGCAAGCCGACCAAGGAGGGCCUCUGUUUCCGAGGCAGCCUGGCAACCCGACCAGUCGCCCGAGGCGCCCCCUGCAACCCGGUGCUGGGCAGGCAACCACGAAGACUUGUGGCCAAGGGAAGCUUGGCUGGUUCCAGGGAACCCGGGCCGAGGGUGACCUGACCUGUCCCAUCGUGGCAGAGGCAACACGGCCCUGGAGCCUGCCUCUUGGGAGAGUCAUGGCCAUGCCACCCCGCAGACCAGUCCCCAGCACACAGGAAGGGCUCAAUAAAUAUUUGACAAAUCAAAAAAAAAAAAAAAAAAAAAAAAAA